rnacentral:tRNA from 1 species
UAGCUCAAUUGGUAGAGCAACUGACUUGUAAUCAGUAGGUUGAGGGUUCAAGUCCUUU